rnacentral:rRNA from 1 species
CUCAAAUUUGAAAGCUGGCUCCUUCGGGGCCCGCAUUGUAAUUUGUAGAGGAUGCUUCGGGUGUGGCGCCGGUCUAAGUUCUUUGGAACAAGACGUCAUAGAGGGUGAGAAUCCCGUAUGUGACUGGUUGCCUACGCUCAUGUGAAGCUCCUUCGACGAGUCGAGUUGUUUGGGAAUGCAGCUCAAAAUGGGAGGUGUAUUUCUUCUAAAGCUAAAUAUUGGCCAGAGACCGAUAGCGCACAAGUAGAGUGAUCGAAAGAUGAAAAGCACUUUGGAAAGAGAGUUAAACAGUACGUGAAAUUGUUGAAAGGGAAGCGCUUGCAAUCAGACUUGCGCGGCGUCGAUCAGCCUGGGUUCUCCCUGGUGCACUCGGCGCCGCUCAGGCCAGCAUCAGUUUCGGUGGUAGGAUAAAGGCUUAGGGAACGUAGGUCGCCUCGGCGACCGUUAUAGCCCUAGGUGCAAUGCUGCCUACCG